rnacentral:rRNA from 1 species
AUUGAACGCUGGCGGCAGGCCUAACACAUUCAAGUCGAACGAUUGGCGGACGGGUGAAUAAUGUCUGGGCCACUGCCCGAUGGCGGGGGAUAACUACUGGAAAAGGUAGCUAAUACCGCAUACCCUCGGAUGUGCCCCAAUGGGAUUAACUAGUAGGUGGGGUAACGGCUCACCUAGGCGACGCGCCCUAGCUGGUCUGAGAGGAGUACCAGCCACACUGGAACGUAGACACGGUCGAGAGUCCUACGGGAGGAAGCAGGGGUGAAUAGUGCACAAUGGGCGCAAGCCUGAUGCAGCCAUGCCGCGUGUAUGAAGAAGGCCUUCGGGUUGUAAAGUACUGUCAGCGAGGAGGCGUGCGGCGCAGAAGAAGCACCGGCUAACUCCGUGCCAGCAGCCGCGGUAAUAC